UACAGAGACUGCAAGCGUUAUUCGGAUUCACUGGGCGUAAAGGGUGCGCAGGCGGCUGGGUGUGUCAGAUGUGAAAUCCCGAGGCUUAACCUCGGAACUGCGUCUGAAACUACUCGACUAGAGUACUGGAGAGGGAAACGGAAUUCACGGUGUAGCAGUGAAAUGCGUAGAUAUCGUGAGGAACACCAGAGGCGAAGGCGGUUUCCUGGACAGUUACUGACGCUCAGGCACGAAAGCAUGGGGAGCAAAAGGG
rnacentral:rRNA from 1 species